rnacentral:rRNA from 1 species
UACGGGAGGCAGCAGUGGGGAAUAUUGCACAAUGGGCGCAAGCCUGAUGCAGCCAUGCCGCGUGUAUGAAAAAGGCCUUCGGGUUGUAAAGUACUUUCAGUCGUGAGGAAGGUGUUAAGGUUAAUAACCUUAGCAAUUGACGUUAGCGACAGAAGAAGCACCGGCUAACUCCGUGCCAGCAGCCGCGGUAAUACGGAGGGUGCGAGCGUUAAUCGGAAUUACUGGGCGUAAAGGGCACGCAGGCGGUUAAUUAAGUUGGAUGUGAAAUCCCCGGGCUUAAACCUGGGAAUGGCAUUCAAGACUGGUUAGCUAGAGUCUUGUAGAGGGGGUAGAAUUCCAUGUGUAGCGGUGAAAUGCGUAGAGAUGUGGAGGAAUACCGGUGGCGAAAGGCGGCCCCUGGACAAAAGACUGACGCUCAUGUGCGAAAGCGUGGGGAGCAAAACAGGGAUUAGAAACC